rnacentral:rRNA from 1 species
GUAACGCGUGGUACCGUAGCCUAUACAGGGGAGUAACACUAGAAAUAGGUGCUAGACCGCAUAGCGCCAGGGCCGCAUGGCCCAGGUGGAAAAACUCCGGUGGUAUAAGAUGGGCCCGCGUCUGAUUAGCCAGUUGGCAGGGUAACGGCCGUACCAAAGCGACGAUCAGUAGCCGGCCUGAGAGGGUGGACGGCCACAUUGGGACUGAGACACGGCCCAAACUCCUACGGGAGGCAGCAGUGGGGGAUAUUGCACAAUGGGGGAAACCCUGAUGCAGCGACGCCGCGUGAGUGAAGAAGUAUUUCGGUAUGUAAAGCUCUAUCAGCAGGGAAGAAAGAAGACGGUACCUGAGUAAGAAGCCCCCGGCUAACUACGUG